rnacentral:piRNA from 1 species
UGAAUCUGAGGACCUUGGAGGUUAACAGCUUC